CCUACGGGAGGCAGCAGUGAGGAAUAUUGGUCAAUGGACGAGAGUCUGAACCAGCCAAGUAGCGUGAAGGAUGACUGCCCUAUGGGUUGUAAACUUCUUUUAUAUGGGAAUAAAAUGUUCCACGUGUGGGCUUUUGUAUGUACCAUAUGAAUAAGGAUCGGCUAACUCCGUGCCAGCAGCCGCGGUAAUACGGAGGAUCCGAGCGUUAUCCGGAUUUAUUGGGUUUAAAGGGAGCGUAGAUGGGUUGUUAAGUCAGUUGUGAAAGUUUGCGGCUCAACCGUAAAAUUGCAAUUGAUACUGGCAGUCUUGAGUACAGUUGAGGUAGGCGGAAUUCGUGGUGUAGCGGUGAAAUGCUUAGAUAUCACGAAGAACCCCGAUUGCGAAGGCAGCUUACUAAACUGUGACUGACAUUGAUGCUCGAAAGUGUGGGUAUCAAACAGGAUUAGAUACCCCAGUAGUC
rnacentral:rRNA from 1 species